rnacentral:lncRNA from 1 species
CUUCAUCUUCAGUCUUAUUCCUCUGCAUAUUUACAUAAUACUAGACAACAUGUUGCAUCGUAUGAUUGGUAUAGAUUUUGAUAUAUACAUCUCAUCUAAGACAUGUCAUAAGUCACAACGCUCCAACAUCAAAACUAAUUGUUGAUCUAGCUGUCCCCUUCUUUUCUUUCUUCAAAUCUUGGAUCAUCCUGUGUUUUAGGUAUGUUUCUUGAGAAUCAAUCUCCUCAUUUUCAUUUCCUAUGACUCAACAUCCUUUGCUACUUCCAAGAAACCAGUGUAUGUAAAUGUAACCGCUCUCUCCUAUCAAAAUUCUUUUCACCAACUAAUGUAGAACAAUAUAGAAGAAGAGAUUAGUAUUCAGCUUCGUUCGCAAUCUGAAUUCUUAUGCUAUUUUGUGAGAAUUUAACCUAGAGUUUCGUGUAAAAGUAUUAACAUUUAACAUCUUCUCCACAAAUGAACACACACAUCGACACACACACAUAAAUAGGAGAUUAAGAGCUUGACUGGUUUUUCCGCUACCACCCGCAAACGCAGCUUGCAGUUGGUAGCGGUUUACAGCUUCGAAACAAUCAUACAAACUGCUGCAAAUCGCGCUCCGAACCUCUUAAAAUCAAAAGCUGGUUCCAGCUAGCAUUUGCGGCUGCGGACGGUUGCGGGAGGAUAAUUUUUUUUUCUUUUUCUUUAAAAACCAUAUAAAUACAAAAAUAAAAAUAUUCAAUAAAUUUUUCAAAAUGGAAUUAUAAAAAUACUAAAAUAUAUCUAUUAUAUUUUAAUUAAUAUUAUAAAAUUUUAAAAUAAAAUAUUUUCUAUAAUUUUAAAAAUUUAAAACUAUAACUUUGAAAAUAUAAUUUACAUAUUUAUUAUAAUAUUAUGAUUUUUGAUAUUUUUAUAAUUAUAUAAAAUGUAAAUAUUGUUAAUUUAUUAUUUAACCGCUACUGUAUUUAGUAGUUAACCAGUCAUAAGUAUCCCGCAAACGCACCAAUUUCUAACCGCAGAACCAGUCGUAUAAAUCUCUUAAAACUGCUAGAAACCGCAACCACCUGCAUCCGCAAACACCCGCAGCCGCAACCGUAACCGCUGCGUUUGAACCAGUCAGGCCCUAAAGGGAAAAUUUUAUAUUUACCAUUUUCAUGGUACUAUUAUUCAUUUUUACCACCACUAAAUGAAUAUUUUUAAAAAUACAUUCUUCAAUUUUAUUUUUAUUUUUAGUUUUUUUUUAAUUUUUAUUUCAAUUUUAUUCAUCUUCUCAGAAACAGAAACAUUCUAUAAUUUUUAUUAAAAAAUACAUUCUUUACCACCAUAUCCGUAAUUUUAUUCUUUAUUUAUUUAACUAAUUAUUGUCGCAAUUUCCCAGAUUUAAAAUGUAAAAUAUGAGACCGGUGAAUCUUAUGAACUCAAAACAACAACCUUGGAACUGAAGAACAAAUAACUCAGUUAGCUUAUUGUCUCUCUUUGUUUCUUUAUUCUUACACACGAGAGAAACAUCCUCUGUUUCACUUGGGUAAGAGUCAAGACUGAAUGAUCCCUACCUAGAAGAUCAUUUCUUGACGUCCCAAACCCUCUGAUUCGUCUAGUGUCUUUGAAAGACGCUAGCUUUUUUGUUAUAAUUGAACAUGAGACUAGACUAUUAAUUAAUCAAUUUUCACCUGACUUUGGUCUCCGCUACCGACAAACAGUCACAGCCAACGCUAAGCUUUUGUCCCACUGUAAGAAUAAAAGAAAUGGCAUCACAACUUUAACAAAUAUCUCAAAAGUUAGGUCCCUUUAUCACCGAAAGUUUUCUCUCUUGACUUCACCAACAACCUUUCUACGAGAGUUGAUCGGCGAUAUGGAGACCGAAGUCAUCACCAAACCGCACAGACUCAAGUUCGACGUCUUCCUCAGCUUCCG